UUAAACUCGUUGUGAAUAUACAUUAAAAACCUAACCAAAAAUUCUCGUGACAAGUUUUAGUGUUUACAUUCAAUGUCAAAUGAGUGAAUAUAGUGUAUACUAUAUUCUUAGAAUUUUAUAUAAAUACAGAUAUUGAAUAUUCCGUAUAUAUUCUGCAACUGGAUAUGUAAAAUUAUUUUUAAUAUUUCACUAAUACCUUGUUAAAAAUCAAGAGAAAUGGAAAAUUAAUUCAAACAUUUAACAUAACUGACAUUGUUGACGACGACGACGACGACUGAGUUGCUGUUGCACAAUGCAUUUGUGGUUCAUUAUUCAGAAGAAUCAUCGGAUUGUAGUAACCAUACACCCAUGCAUACGGAUCAAAAGCUAUUAUUUUCGACGCUAUUGUGGAUGAAGAAGAUGAAAAUGUAUGUGGUGAAUCAAAAAAGAAAAAAAUCUACACUCCUUCCAUUGUAAUGCAAAAAAGUACUUUCCAAGGACUCAAAAAUAUUAUUGUGUGUGUCGAUGAACGUUUUCGUAGACUAGAGCGUUUAUUAAAAAAUGUUGAAGUUUGUACACAAGCACUAAUUCAAAGUGUUUCGAAUUAUAUUUUAACUGAAAAAAUUAUUUUUCACUAUUUAGAUUUUAUAAAACAACUUUUACUCGCUAAAUUUGAUUUGUUUAAAAGACAAGUUCAAACAAAAUUAGAAAACACAUUUAUUACACUACAUUUUGAUAUUGUAUUUCUUGAACUCAUUUAUGUUCAAAAUGAUUUCAUUGCACACGGUGUUGUCAAGUCUAUUAGCGAUCAAUUGUAAAAAUUAUAUUACACAUAUUUAAAAAAAUACAUACACAAUCUAUUAUUAAAUAAUCAUGAAAAAUACUACUUUAUUACAUAUAAUUAAUUUAACAAGUUACAUAAUUUUAACUACUUCAUUUGUACUAAGUAUUUUAAUAUUAUAAUAAAACUUACCUAUCAUUUAAAAUACUGUGUAUUUCAUCUUCUCAACCCGCUCAAAUACCUUUUCACGCAACUUACCUUUUCUAUAACUAUG